CGCGGGAUGGAGCAGUCUGGUAGCUCGUCGGGCUCAUAACCCGAAGGUCGUUGGUUCAAAUCCGGCUCCCGCAA
rfam:Shewanella sp. YQH10 contig8, whole genome shotgun sequence.